GACGAACGCUGGCGGCGUGCUUAACACAUGCAAGUCGAACGGAAAGGCCCUGCUUUUGUGGGGUGCUCGAGUGGCGAACGGGUGAGUAACACGUGAGUAACCUGCCCUUGACUUUGGGAUAACUUCAGGAAACUGGGGCUAAUACCGGAUAGGAGCUCCUGCUGCAUGGUGGGGGUUGGAAAGUGUCGGCGGUUGGGGCUGGACUCGCGGCUUAUCAGCUUGUUGGUGGGGUAGUGGCUUACCAAGGCUUUGACGGCUAGCCGGCCUGGGAGGGUGGACGGCCACAUGGGGACUGAGGUAGGGACCAGAAUGCUACGGGAGGCAGCGGUGGGGAGUAUUGCGCAGUGGGCGGAAGCCUGAUGCAGCAGCGCCGCGAGCGGGAUGACGGCCUUCGGGGUGUGAACCGCUUUGGCCUGUGACGAAGCGUGAGUGACGGUAAUGGGUAAGGAAGCACCGGCUAACUACGUG
rnacentral:rRNA from 1 species